CCCCGGCCUACAUGAGAAUGAAUCACUAGAGAGAAUAUAAGGAGCUCAGUCUCAGGCAGAAGUCUGGGAUUUGGUGAGCAACAGUGCAGUCUGGAGACGCAAUCUGAGCUUCAAUGGAUCACUCUACAUUGAGCACUGGUAGAGCUUCAGGGGGCCAGCAGAUUGCCUCGCCGCCUCUGUGGAUCUGGAUGACUGUGGAGCAUCUGGGCCACCAAUGAUUCUCAUUAAACCGCGGUUCAUUUGGGGGUAGAUGCUGAGCAACCCAAUCAUAUCUUUCAUGUGGAUAUAGUAAUCAUGUAUCCUGUUCGAUCCAACCGCCUCUUAUGACAGUGCUAGACUGACCUACAUUAUUGGAGGCUGAUUACAGACAAGGGCUGUCUAUAGUGACAGAGGACCUGGUAGCUGUUCAUUCCAGGCACCUGGCAUCCUGGUAACAAUGAGGUCCAAUGAUGCAUACCCAGUCUAAGGCUGAAGGUCCAGAAGCUCCAUGAAGAGUCAUUGGUGUGUGUGUGGAUUGACAGACUGAAAAAGCUGGAGUCUGAUGACUUUAAGCAGUGACUGCAGGAAUAUUACAUAUUCAGGAAGAAUGGAGCUUUGUCUACUGGCUGACCUUUUCCCAUUCAUUCAUACUUCACCCAGGACUCCCUGGUGGUACUGCUUGAUCCAAGCAAUAUCAUGAUGGUGUUUAAAUCCCCGGUGGUCUGAAUCAACCAACACUUGUAAUUUCAUCCAAGAUCCUUCAACAGAAGUUUUCCAUCCUGUCUGAACCAGAUGCUCACUGACCCAUGAGUGUACCUUCCUCAUUAUUGUCUCUGGUUGUGUAUGGUUUUCCCUUGUGGAAAUACUUCUUUCUCACCACCAAAGUGCUCCCAUGCAUCUACAGCCCAUCAGCACUGCAAUGGAUACAUCUAUUUAUGGCUUCCCUGUCCUCUUAAC
rnacentral:lncRNA from 1 species